GGAGUGGCUUAUCACUUCAAGGAUGAGAUCAAGGACACUUUGCGAGGGUUUCAUGCUUCUUUCGAGGACAUAGGCUCACAGCUCAAGGACAAUCUGCAUGCCUCAGCGCUGCUCUUUAGGCUUCUCAGAGAAAACGGCUUCUCUGUUUCCGAAGAUAUAUUCAAGAAAUUUAAAGACGAGAAAGGCCAGUUCGAAGACCGGCUCCACAGCCAGGCCCAGGGAUUACUGAGUUUGUACGAGGCUUCUUACCU